GACGAACGCUGGCGGCGUGCUUAACACAUGCAAGUCGAACGGAAAGGCCCUGCUUUUGUGGGGUGCUCGAGUGGCGAACGGGUGAGUAACACGUGAGUAACCUGCCCUUGACUUUGGGAUAACUUCAGGAAACUGGGGCUAAUACCGGAUAGGAGCUCCUGCUGCAUGGUGGGGGUUGGAAAGUUUCGGCGGUUGGGGAUGGACUCGCGGCCUAUCAGCUUGUUGGUGGGGUAGUGGCUUACCAAGGCGUUGACGGGUAGCCGGCCUGAGAGGGUGACCGGCCACAUUGGGACUGAGAUACGGCCCAGACUCCUACGGGAGGCAGCAGUGGGGAAUAUUGCACAAUGGGCGGAAGCCUGAUGCAGCAACGCCGCGUGCGGGAUGACGGCCUUCGGGUUGUAAACCGCUUUCGCCUGUGACGAAGCGUGAGUGACGGUAAUGGGUAAAGAAGCACCGGCUAACUACGUG
rnacentral:rRNA from 1 species